AGAGUUUGAUCCUGGCUCAGGAUGAACGCUGGCGGCGUGCCUAACACAUGCAAGUCGAGCGAUCUUCUUCGGAAGAGAGCGGCGGACGGGUGAGUAACGCGUGGGUAACCUGCCCUGUACACACGGAUAACAUACCGAAAGGUAUGCUAAUACGAGAUAACAUAAGAAAUUCGCAUGUUUUUCUUAUCAAAGCUCCGGCGGUACAGGAUGGACCCGCGUCUGAUUAGCUAGUUGGUGAGGUAACGGCUCACCAAGGCGACGAUCAGUAGCCGACCUGAGAGGGUGAUCGGCCACAUUGGAACUGAGACACGGUCCAAACUCCUACGGGAGGCAGCAGUGGGGAAUAUUGCACAAUGGGCGAAAGCCUGAUGCAGCAACGCCGCGUGAGCGAUGAAGGCCUUCGGGUCGUAAAGCUCUGUCCUCAAGGAAGAUAAUGACGGUACUUGAGGAGGAAGCCCCGGCUAACUACGUGCCAGCAGCCGCGGUAAUACGUAGGGGGCUAGCGUUAUCCGGAUUUACUGGGCGUAAAGGGUGCGUAGGCGGUCUUUUAAGUCAGGAGUGAAAGGCUACGGCUCAACCGUAGUAAGCUCUUGAAACUGGAGGACUUGAGUGCAGGAGAGGAGAGUGGAAUUCCUAGUGUAGCGGUGAAAUGCGUAGAUAUUAGGAGGAACACCAGUAGCGAAGGCGGCUCUCUGGACUGUAACUGACGCUGAGGCACGAAAGCGUGGGGAGCAAACAGGAUUAGAUACCCUGGUAGUCCACGCCGUAAACGAUGAGUACUAGGUGUCGGGGGUUACCCCCCUCGGUGCCGCAGCUAACGCAUUAAGUACUCCGCCUGGGGAGUACGCUCGCAAGAGUGAAACUCAAAGGAAUUGACGAGGACCCGCACAAGUAGCGGAGCAUGUGGUUUAAUUCGAAGCAACGCGAAGAACCUUACCUAAGCUUGACAUCCUUUUGACCGAUGCCUAAUCGCAUCUUUCCCUUCGGGGACAGAAGUGACAGGUGGUGCAUGGUUGUCGUCAGCUCGUGUCGUGAGAUGUUGGGUUAAGUCCCGCAACGAGCGCAACCCUUGCCUUUAGUUGCCAUCAUUAAGUUGGGCACUCUAGAGGGACUGCCAGGGAUAACCUGGAGGAAGGUGGGGAUGACGUCAAAUCAUCAUGCCCCUUAUGCUUAGGGCUACACACGUGCUACAAUGGGUGGUACAGAGGGCAGCGAAGUCGUGAGGCCAAGCUAAUCCCUUAAAGCCAUUCUCAGUUCGGAUUGUAGGCUGAAACUCGCCUACAUGAAGCUGGAGUUACUAGUAAUCGCAGAUCAGAAUGCUGCGGUGAAUGCGUUCCCGGGUCUUGUACACACCGCCCGUCACACCAUGGGAGUUGGGGGCGCCCGAAGCCGGCUAGCUAACCUUUUGGAAGCGGUCGUCGAAGGUGAAACCAAUAACUGGGGUGAAGUCGUAACAAGGUU
rnacentral:rRNA from 1 species